GAUGAACGCUGGCGGCGUGCCUAAUACAUGCAAGUCGAGCGAACAGACGAGGAGCUUGCUCCUCUGACGUUAGCGGCGGACGGGUGAGUAACACGUGGAUAACCUACCUAUAAGACUGGGAUAACUUCGGGAAACCGGAGCUAAUACCGGAUAACAUGUUGAACCGCAUGGUUCAACAGUGAAAGACGGUCUUGCUGUCACUUAUAGAUGGAUCCGCGCCGCAUUAGCUAGUUGGUAAGGUAACGGCUUACCAAGGCAACGAUGCGUAGCCGACCUGAGAGGGUGAUCGGCCACACUGGAACUGAGACACGGUCCAGACUCCUACGGGAGGCAGCAGUAGGGAAUCUUCCGCAAUGGGCGGAAGCCUGACGGAGCAGCGCCGCGUGAGUGAUGAAGGUCUUCGGAUCGUAAAGCUCUGUUAUUAGGGAAGAACAAAUGUGUAAGUAACUAUGCACGUCUUGACGGUACCUAAUCAGAAAGCCACGGCUAACUACGUG
rnacentral:rRNA from 1 species